AUAAGGAGAUUGCCUCUUAGAUUAAACAGUUUAAUAGUGUCGAAAGAUCAAAUCACAACAAUUUAGUUUAAAAAUCUUAAUUGGCCUUAUUUGUGAUUCUAUAACCCGACAAUGCUUUAGAAUAAGUGUUCCAAUGAGGAGCUGCGCUAAAGAAGUUGGUUUUCUAGCCAGAGAAGGGCUUAAGAAAGCAGAAACCAAGAACAAAGAGUAGGUUGGUUCCUUCAAAGUUACUUUCUUUGUAAGGUGGGACUGGGAGACAGAACAACAGAAAGGUAACUGAUUGGUUAACAUUAGGUUACUUCAGUUUACUUUUUUGUAAGGAUUAAAGUAGAGGGAACUUCAUGAUCGUGCUGACUGAAACCAGCCUGUUUGUGAAAUUAGGAUGUUAUCUCUCUCCUGAUUUCUCUGAAGGUCAGAUAAUGACUUAGACGAGUUUCGGUUUGGUGAAAACCUCUGCAUGAGUGACUCCAUUUUGAUUUUUAGUCUAGUCUGUUGGAAUCUACUGCGGGAGUUUAGUCCAAAGCAAUGGAGUCCUGUAAUUUUUAGGUAGGAGGAAAGACAGCUGAGAUGUGAAUUCAAGCCAGCCUGACUCCAAAACCCAUGCUUUUAUUCACUCCUCUGUUUUCUCAGUAGGCUUACAAAUACUUUUAAGCUCUGAUGCCUGUAACCAGCAUGUACCCAAAAUAUUGUACACUAGUCACAGGUAGUUAAUAUUGGUCAUGUAGUUAAUAUUAAAAGGGCUAUGACUCUGUCUGCCCAGUUUUUAAUUAUGGUAUUAUCAGGACUUUGGUUUCAGAAAUAAUACAAGAUCUGCCCAAAUGCUGAUCAUCCAUCUUGGAAGAAUCCUUUACAUCUGAAUUCACACCUUUUCCUCCCUUCUUCUAAUCUCUUUUAGGUCUCUAUCCAGUGCAGCCAUAACCCACCAUGUCUUCCCUAUCACUCCUUUCCUUGCUCUGGAGGUCAAUUUUAUGAAUGAUGUGUCAGUCGUUAUACUGCAGAACAAACAAUCCCAAUCUGUCAGUGGCUUAAAACAACAAAAGUUUGUAUCUUAAAAUUACAAAGGUUUCUAUAUCUAUGACACAUCUGUCAUGUUCACCAGGGAGGCUCUUUUCUUAGACACUCAGGAACCCAGGCUGCAGAAGCAGCCACCUUACCUCCUCAACAGAACAGGCUGGGGUGCUGAGCCAAUGGGAAAGGAGAAAUUGGAGGAUCUCUUAUUGGUAUUUAAAUGCCCUGUCACUUCCACGCAUUGCCCAGAACUCUGUAAAAUGGUGCCACCCAUCCAUAAGGGGACCAGCAAGUGCAGUCCACCCCUGUGCCCAGGGGUUUCUGUACGUUCUUCGUGUCAGACUCUGGAGUGCGUUCCAAUGUCAAACGCAACGUGCAGGCCUCUGUAGAGAGAAGAUUCCUACCCUUUUGGCUUUGAUCAGAUUUUCUUUCUGAAUUCCAACCAGAACCUCUGCAAAAUUGUGAAGAAGAUGAAGUGUCUAGUGUGCCUGGACUUUUUUCUCUGCACCCUUCAUUUCAUUUCUACGUACCUUUUCUCCGGAGAGGUGGUGCUUCGUGCUGUCAUUCUGUCUUCCUCCAGUCUGGGGAUCUUGAAACCACAAGAUGAUGGAGAUAUGAGAUGGAAGGAACCUGGAUUCCUGAGUUACCACUUGGAGUGUGCUCACAGGAGAGCCGU